rnacentral:rRNA from 1 species
GUUAUAGGGACAAGUGAAUAAGUGCACAUGGUGGAUGCCUUGGCGAUUACAGGCGAUGAAGGACGUAGUAGCUUGCGAUAAGCUGCGGGGAGCUAGCAAACAAGCUUUGAUCCGCAGAUUUCCGAAUGGGGAAACCCGGCCCUUUGGGUCAUUGCAUAC